rnacentral:rRNA from 1 species
CUUAACACAUGCAAGUCGAACGGCAGCAUGGGGUGCUUGCACCCUGAUGGCGAGUGGCGGACGGGUGAGUAAUGCUUGGGAAUCUGCCUAGUAGUGGGGACAACCCGGGAAACCCGGGCUAAUACCGCAUACGCCCUACGGGGAAAGCCGGGGGAUCUUCGGACCUCGCGCUAUUAGAUGAGCCCAAGUCGGAUUAGCUUGUUGGUGAGGUAAUGGCUCACCAAGGCGACGAUCCGUAGCUGGUCUGAGAGGAUGACCAGCCACACUGGAACUGAGACACGGUCCAGACUCCGUACGGGAGGCAGCAGGUGGGGAAUAUUGCACAAGUGGGCGCAAGCCUGAUGCAGCCAUGCCGCGUGUGUGAAGAAGGCCGUUAGGGUUAGUAAAGCUACUUUCAGCAGUGAGGAAAGGGGUGUCGUUAAUAGCGCCAUCCUGUGACGUUAACUGCAGAAGAAGGACCGGCUAACUCCGUG